rnacentral:rRNA from 1 species
AUGCAGUUUUUGAAUAUUUCAAGAAAUAACCUAUCUGGUAGUAUCCCCAAGGACAUUGGCAACCUAAAGUUAUUAGAGUCCCUUGACCUCUCUUGGAACAAAUUAUCAGGUCAUAUUCCUCCUAGUGUCUCAAACCUGACGUCCCUUACCGCUCUCAAUCUCUCCAACAACCUUCUAUCUGGAGAUAUACCUACAGGCAGUCAGCUCCAAACACUUGAGGACCCAUCGAUCUACGGCAAUAAUCUUGGACUUUGUGGCCCUCCAUUGAGCAUUCCAUGCACAAACAAUUCGAGUAGUACAGAAGCAGUUGAUGGCGACCAUGAACAUGAAACGGUGUGGCUGUACUACUCGGUGAUUGCUGGAACUGUCUUCGGUUUCUGGGUAUGGUUUGGAGCAUUGUUCUUCUGCAAGAUCUGGCGGUUUGCACUCUUCAAUCGCAUCGAUGCCAUGCAGCGGAUUGUUGUACACAAGAUGAAGCGUACCUGA